rnacentral:misc_RNA from 1 species
GAGAGAUAUAGGAUUUCUUGUAUAAAAGGGGAAAGAGAUAGGGUCAUAAUUGGUGGCCAAAAAUGGAGAGAGAUAUCGAUGACCUGCCGAAAAACGCAGCCAACUACACUGCCUUGACGCCACUGUGGUUCCUCGAUAGAGCAGCCACGAUUCACCCAACCAGAACAUCGCUUCUGCAUGGAUCCGUACGCUACACUUGGUUCCAGACCAACAAGCGAUGCCGCCGAUUGGCUUCCGCUCUAUCCAAGCAUUCCGUCGGCAUCGGUAGCACGUCAAUCUUGAAAGCAAAAAAGUUUCUGAAGACUUGCUUGGAACAUUAAAGGACAGAUGGUUCACCAAACUUUUAUUUUCCUCUCUUUCUGGAUUUGAUUCAUCUGCUAAAUCUAAUUUGUGCUUAUUUUGGUUGCAUCAUGCCCUGUUAGCAACUUAUCUUUUUCUGAUUUCCAUUUUCAGGUAGCAAUAAUUGCACCAAAUAUCCCUGCUAUGUACGAAGCACACUUUGGAGUUCCAAUGGCUGGAGCUGUGGUUAAUUGUGUCAAUAUACGUCUGAAUGCACCAACAAUUGCUUUUCUUUUAGGCCAUUCAAAAUCUGAAGUUGUGAUGGUGGACCAAGAGCUCUUUUCACUGGCAGAGGAAGCUUUGAAAAUAUUGGCAGAAAGUGGAAGCUCUUUUAGGCCUUCACUAUUGAUUGUCAUAGCUGAUAAAAGCUGUGAUCCUAGGGCUCUGAAUCAUGCUUUGGGAAAAGGGGCCAUUGAAUAUGAGAAGUUCCUGGAAACUGGUGACCCUGACUUUGCUUGGAAACGACCAGAGGACGAGUGGCAGAGUAUCGCUUUAGGUUAUACUUCUGGCACAACGGCCAGCCCUAAAGGUGUGGUGCUGAGCCACCGAGGAGCCUAUCUAAUGUCCUUGAGUAAUCCUCUAAAUUGGGGGAUGAAUGAAGGGGCUGUGUACUUGUGGACUUUACCAAUGUUCCAUUGCAAUGGUUGGUGUUACACUUGGGCUCUUGCAGCUCUUUGUGGUACAAACAUAUGCCUUCGGCAGGUAUCAGCCAGGGCAGUCUAUUCAGCCAUAGCAAAUGAUGGUGUCAGUCACUUCUGUGCUGCACCUGUGGUGCUCAAUACCAUAGUGAAUGCUCCUAUGGAGGAGACUAUCCUACCACUACCACGUGUUGUACAUGUAAUGACCGCUGGUGCUGCCCCACCCCCUUCUAUACUCUUUGCAAUGUCAGAAAAAGGUUUCCGUGUAACACAUACUUAUGGCCUCUCAGAAACUUAUGGCCCUUCCACUGUGUGUUCAUGGAAGCCUGAGUGGGACUGCCAGCCUCCCGUAAUCCAAGCCCGUCUAAAUGCACGCCAGGGUGUCCGAUACAUUAGCUUGGAAGGCCUUGAUGUUGUUGACCCUAAAACUAUGAAGCCUGUCCCUGCAGAUGGAACCACCAUUGGAGAAAUAGUGAUGAGGGGCAAUGUUGUGAUGAAGGGCUACUUGAAGAAUCCAAAAGCCAAUGAAGAAGCUUUUGCAAAUGGGUGGUUUCAUUCUGGGGAUCUUGCUGUAAAGCAUCCAGACAAUUAUAUAGAGAUUAAGGACAGAUCAAAGGACAUUAUCAUCUCUGGGGGAGAAAACAUAAGUAGCCUGGAGGUAGAAAAUGUACUGUAUGCACACCCAGCAAUAUAUGAGGUAUCAGUGGUGGCUAGGCCAGAUCAGCAGUGGGGGGAGUCACCCUGUGCUUUUGUGACAUUGAAGCCUGAAGUUGACAAAUUGAAUGAAGGGCGUUUGGCUGAAGAUAUAAUAAAGUUUUCCCGGUCGAAGAUGCCUGCUUACUGGGUUCCAAAAUCUGUAAUAUUUGGACCAUUGCCAAAGACAGCUACUGGGAAGAUUCAGAAGCACUUGCUGAGGGUUAAGGCAAAAGAGAUGGGCCCUGUGAAGAAAAGCAAGCUAUAAUUUUUAUUCUGAAAGGUUAAGAAAUUUCCGGUUCCUUUUAAAUUGAAUGAGGCGUGUUCAUCCUUGCCACCAAGAUUUUGCAAAUCGACACCCUUGUAAUUUCUUCGCUGAAUGCAUGCCCUAUUGGAUGAUCAUUUCUUGAGAGGAAGGAUCUUUUAAGUGCAGGGUUCAUGGCGGUACAAAUACUAUUGUGUUCAUGUGUAAAGUAGUAGCUUGAAUUAAAGGUUGUCAACUUCAUUAUUUGUACGGAAGAUGAAUCCUUGGAUAUGUAAUGUAUUCAUUUAUGCAAUUAAUUUGGAAAAUUCGAUGGCGUGAC